GCUGUGGAAAGUGUGACUCCGGCUGAUGUGGAGCAAGUUUGAGGCAUCAGUGAAAAACAUAAAACUAUCGAAAGAAAAUCGUGCUUCAAGCAAAAUGACGAUCAAGGAAAACGAAUGAAUAAAUCACAUUCAAGAUAAAAUAUUUGAGCUUGAAACCGGAGCAAAGGGUGACCAUGGGUUCAGCACCAAGCAAACUUUUCAGACGUAAAAAGAAAUCAGGAUCUACGAUUAAUUCUGAUGAAAAAAGUCAAUCAGUCUCUGAAGAUCCAGUAGACGUCACAGAAGAAAGUGAGAAAGAGGAUGAAGAGAAUGAAGUACAAGAAGAAGACGUAGAACAAGAUGAAGCACAAGAAGAA